rnacentral:rRNA from 1 species
UAGGGAAUCUUCGGCAAUGGACGAAAGUCUGACCGAGCAACGCCGCGUGAGUGAAGAAGGUUUUCGGAUCGUAAAACUCUGUUGUUAGAGAAGAACAAGGACGUUAGUAACUGAACGUCCCCUGACGGUAUCUAACCAGAAAGCCACGGCUAACUACGUGCCAGCAGCCGCGGUAAUACGUAGGUGGCAAGCGUUGUCCGGAUUUAUUGGGCGUAAAGCGAGCGCAGGCGGUUUCUUAAGUCUGAUGGGAAAGCCCCCGGCUCAACCGGGGAGGGUCAUUGAAAACUGGGAGACUGGAGUGCAGAAGAGGAGGGUGGAAUUCCAUGUGUAGCGGUGAAAUGCGUAGAUAUAUGGAGGAACACCAGUGGCGAAGGCGGCUCUCUGGUCUGUAACUGACGCUGAGGCUCGAAAGCGUGGGGAGCAAACAGG